rnacentral:rRNA from 1 species
CCUACGGGAGGCAGCAGUGAGGAAUAUUGGUCAAUGGGCGGGAGCCUGAACCAGCCAAGUCGCGUGAAGGAAGAAGGUACUUAGUAUUGUAAACUUCUUUUGUCGGGGAACAAAGGCGGAGACGCGUCUCCGGAUGAGUGUACCCGAAGAAAAAGCAUCGGCUAACACCGUGCCAGCAGCCGCGGUCAUACGGAGGAAGCGAGCGUUAACCGGAUUUAUGGGGUUUAACGGGAGGGAAGGCGGGAGAUAAAGUCAGCGGUAAAAGGUCGGGGCUCAACCCCGGCCGGCCGUUGAAACUGGUUGUGUAGAGUUGGAGAGAAGUAUGAGGAAUUCGUGGUGUAGCGGUGAAAUGCAUAGAUAUCACGAAGAACUCCGAGUGCGAAGGCAGCAUACCGGCUCCAUACUGACGCUGAGGCACGAAAGCGUGGGGAUCGAACAGGAUUAGAUACCCUAGUAGUC